GACGAACGCUGGCGGCGUGCUUAACACAUGCAAGUCGAACGAGAAAGGCUCUUCGGGGCCGAGUACAGUGGCGAACGGGUGAGUAACACGUGGGCAACCUGCCCCAAGGAGCGGGACAACCCGGGGAAACUCGGGCUAAUACCGCAUGAUUCGUGCAGUCAUAAGGCUGUACGGCAAAUGGUAGCUUCGGCCUCCGCCUUGGGAUGGGCCCGCGGCGCAUUAGCUUGUUGGUGUGGGUAACGGCCCACCAAGGCGACGAUGCGUAGCUGGUCUGAGAGGACGAUCAGCCACACUGGGACUGAGACACGGCCCAGACUCCUACGGGAGGCAGCAGUGGGGAAUCUUGCGCAAUGGGCGGAAGCCUGACGCAGCAACGCCGCGUGUGGGAAGACGGCCUUCGGGUUGUAAACCACUUUCAGGGGGGACGAAGCUUCCGAGGUUAAUAGCCUACGGGGUGACGGUACCCCCAGAAGAAGCCCCGGCUAACUACGUGCCAGCAGCCGCGGUAAUACGUAGGGGGCGAGCGUUGUCCGGAAUCAUUGGGCGUAAAGCGCGUGUAGGCGGCUCAGUCAGUCUGGUGUGAAAUCUUGGGGCUCAACCCCAAGCCUGCACUGGAUACUGCUGAGCUUGAGUCCGGGAGGG
rnacentral:rRNA from 1 species